ACCAGAGUCACCAGUCUUCGGGGACUUCUGGGCGUACAGGCUCCGAGGGUCUUAGUCUUCCAGGAAGGUCUGCCCUUCGAGGAGAGAGAGGACUGGAGUGGGCAGAAAGUUUGACACCUCUACAAGAUACCUCAAGAAUUACAAGGAUUGAGAAAGACCACUGAAUCUGGCGAUUAAAAGAUCAUUGACAAAGUUAAAGAAAGCAGUUUCAGGAGAGUGGACAAUUUAAGUUGGCAAGAGAGAUCCAAGUAAAAGAAAGUCCUCUCGACAAUGACAAUUAAAACAGUUGAAGAGUCACAGGAGAUGAAUUCAGAGCUCUGGGAGAAACCAGUGUGUGGCAUCACAACCCAAGGACCAGCCCUUGCUGAAAGCUGCCUGUCACCCAUGGCUGGCAUGAUGAACUGGCCAAACUAUUAAAGAUGAAGAAGGUGGAAACGGCUUUAUUCCCUUUGAGGCAGUUCUGAGCCAAUCAAUCCUGAAAAUGAGGAACUAUGGGUCUCUAAUGAAAGCCACUGAGAUGAAAAUGAAUUGUAUUUGACCAAUGUGGUUCACCAAGUACAAUGUUCUGUACACAGUGGGCGUUCAACAGAUUCAAGACAACAAUUCAACAAACGCUUAUUAAGCGCUUUCUCUGUGGAGAUCAAGUGGUUAUUGGGGGUCAAGUAGUGACUAGAGGGCUGGCCUUGAAAGCAGGAAGUCCUGGGAUCAAGUUCUGACUUUGUUAUACACUACUUGUGUGACCAUGGGCAAGUCAAUCAACAUUUCAAUGGCCCUGCGCAUCUCUCUGAAGCUUAAUGUCAAAGAUAUGUUUGCUGAUCUGUAUCCGUAGAGAGAGGAGGUUUCCAUGUGGUGAGGUUCUUACACUGAUGAAAUAAUGGAUCUUGACUAAAAAAUAAAAAUAUUGAGGUCAGGACUGCUCAGAGUCCUGUGGGGGAAAAUUCUGUAAUUAUGGCCUCAGUGAAGAACUUGUAGAGUUUCAUCAAAAGCUAGGUUCCAAAUCCCAAAUCUCAAAUCAAUGAGUGAGAUGCAUACCCAACGAGCCUGGAUUAACAUACCUUUGACCAUACUCUGAUCAACUGAUCAAUCAAAAAGAAUUUAUUAAAUACAUACUAGCCAGGCACUAGCCAUACAAAGGUAGUAAAGCAAUUGUCCGUUCCCUCAAGGAGCUUAUAGUCAAUCAGAAGAGACAACAUAAAUAAAUACAUAUAUGCACAUAUAUAAAUA